AGCUGGCACCUCCGGUGUCCGCGUUGUAAUCUCGAGACGUGUUUUCCGUGCGGCUCUAUGGACAAGUCCCUUGGAAUAGGGCAUCGUAGAGGGUGAGAAUCCCGUACUUGCCAUGGAAGAACCGUGCUUUGCGAUACACGCUCUAAGAGUCGAGUUGUUUGGGAUUGCAGCUCAAAAUGGGUGGUAGACUCCAUCUAAAGCUAAAUAUCGGGGAGAGACCGAUAGCGAACAAGUACCGUGAGGGAAAGAUGAAAAGCACUUUGGAAAGAGAGUUAAAAGUACGUGAAAUUGUCGAAAGGGAAGCACUUGAAGUCAGCCAUGCUGCUUGAGACUCAGCCUGGCCUUUGGGCUUGGUGUAUUUCUCGGUGGCAAGCCAGCAUUGGUUUGGGUCGUCGGAGAAGCGCAUAGGGAAUGUAGCGUCUCCGGACGUGUUAUAGCCUUAUGCAGGAUACGACGACCUGGAUCAAGGAACGCAGUGUGCCCUCUGGGCGGG
rnacentral:rRNA from 1 species